rnacentral:rRNA from 1 species
CCUACGGGAGGCAGCAGUGGGGAAUAUUGGACAAUGGGCGAAAGCCUGAUCCAGCAAUGCCGCGUGAGUGAUGAAGGCCUUAGGGUUGUAAAGCUCUUUUACCAGGGAUGAUAAUGACAGUACCUGGAGAAUAAGCUCCGGCUAACUCCGUGCCAGCAGCCGCGGUAAUACGGAGGGAGCUAGCGUUGUUCGGAAUUACUGGGCGUAAAGCGUGCGUAGGCGGUGAUUCAAGUCAGAGGUGAAAGCCUGGAGCUCAACUCCAGAACGGCCUUUGAAACUAGAUCGCUAGAAUUAUGGAGAGGUAAGUGGAAUUCCGAGUGUAGAGGUGAAAUUCGUAGAUAUUCGGAAGAACACCAGUGGCGAAGGCGACUUACUGGACAUAUAUUGACGCUGAGGUACGAAAGCGUGGGGAGCAAACAGGAUUAGAUACCCUGGUAGUCCACGCCGUAAACGAUGAUAACUAGCUGUUCGGGCUCUCAGAGCUUGAGUGGCGCAGCUAACGCAUUAAGUUAUCCGCCUGGGGAGUACGGUCGCAAGAUUAAAACUCAAAGGAAUUGACGGCGNGAGAGNGCGAGACGACGACGAGGAGAG